rnacentral:rRNA from 1 species
CCUACGGGUGGCAGCAGUGGGGAAUAUUGGGCAAUGGGCGCAAGCCUGACCCAGCGACGCCGCGUGAGGGAAGACGGUCUUCGGAUUGUAAACCUCUUUCAGUAGGGAAGACAAAAGGACGGUACCUGCAGAAGAAGCCACGGCUAACUACGUGACAGCAGCCGCGGUAAUACGUAGGUGGCACGCGUUAUCCGGAAUUACUGGGUGUAAAGGGUGUGUAGGCGGGUUUGCAAGUCAGAUGUGAAAAUUAUGGGUUCAACCCAUAACCUGCGUCUGAAACUACAGAUCUUGAGAGUGGGAGAGGUAAACGGAAUUCCCGGUGGAGCGGUAAAAUGCGUAGAGAUCGAGAGGAACACCAGUGGCGAAGGCGAUCUGCUAGACAACAACUGACGCUGAGGCGCGAAAGCGUGGGGAGCAAACAGGAUUAGAUACCCCUGUAGUC